UACGUAGGGGGCAAGCGUUGUCCGGAAUCAUUGGGCGUAAAGAGCGCGUAGGCGGCCCGGUAAGUCCGCUGUAAAAGUCCAGGGCUCAACCCUUGAAUGCCGGCCGAUACUGUCGGGCUAGAGUCCGGAAGAGGCGAGUGGAAUUCCUGGUGUAGCGGUGAAAUGCGCAGAUAUCAGGAGGAACACCAAUGGCGAAGGCAGCUCGCUGGGACGGUACUGACGCUGAGACGCGAAAGCGUGGGGAGCAAACAGG
rnacentral:rRNA from 1 species